rnacentral:rRNA from 1 species
UACAGAGGGUGCGAGCGUUAAUCGGAAUUACUGGGCGUAAAGCGCGCGUAGGCGGCUUUUCAAGUCGAUUGUGAAAUCCCCGGGCUCAACCUGGGAAUGGCAAUGGAUACUGGCUGGCUAGAGUGUGUCAGAGGAUGGUGGAAUUCCCGGUGUAGCGGUGAAAUGCGUAGAGAUCGGGAGGAACAUCAGUGGCGAAGGCGGCCAUCUGGGACAACACUGACGCUGAGGCACGAAAGCGUGGGGAGCAAACAGG